GAAGUAUUAGUNNAAAAAAAUUACAUAACUUUGUCAAAGUUAAAUUAUAGGAUUAUGCCCUUUAUACUUC
rnacentral:tRNA from 1 species